rnacentral:misc_RNA from 1 species
AAGAGACGUUGCCCUUCGGGGUAUACCUCCCACCCUUUGUUUAUUAUACCUUUGUUGCUUUGGCGGGCCCGUCCUCGGUCCACCGGCUUCUGCUGGUCAGUGCCCGCCAGAGGACCUAAAACUCUGUUUGUUAAUAUUGUCUGAGUACUAUAUAAUAGUUA